rnacentral:rRNA from 1 species
AGUGAACGCUGGCGGCAGGCCUAACACAUGCAAGUCGAGCGGCAGCGGGUUCCCGCGAGGGGAUGCCGGCGAGCGGCGGACGGGUGAGGAACACAUCGGAAUCUGCCUGGUUGUGGGGGAUAACGUAGGGAAACUUACGCUAAUACCGCAUGCGACCCUGAGUCGACGGACUGGGGGUGAAAGUGAGGGACCUUCGGGCCUCACGCGACCAGAUGAGCCGAUGUCGGAUAGCUAGUUGGCGGGGUAACGGCCCGCCAAGGCGCGAUCCGUAGCUGGUCUGAGAGGAUGAUCAGCCACACUGGGACUGAGACACGGCCCAGACUCCUACGGGAGGCAGCAGUGGGGAAUCUUGGACAAUGGGCGCAAGCCUGAUCCA